rnacentral:rRNA from 1 species
UACGUAGGGUGCAAGCGUUAAUCGGAAUUACUGGGCGUAAAGCGUGCGCAGGCGGUGAUGUAAGACAGAUGUGAAAUCCCCGGGCUCAACCUGGGACUGCAUUUGUGACUGCAUCGCUGGAGUACGGCAGAGGGGGAUGGAAUUCCGCGUGUAGCAGUGAAAUGCGUAGAUAUGCGGAGGAACACCGAUGGCGAAGGCAAUCCCCUGGGCCUGUACUGACGCUCAUGCACGAAAGCGUGGGGAGCAAACAGG